rnacentral:tRNA from 1 species
CAAAAAGUAGUUAAAUAAUAGAAUAUUAAUUUUGGAGAUUAAAGGUAUAAUUUAUAAAUUAUUUUUUUGA